UCACUAGUACCACGAGUCCCGACAAGACAAGAUGUCGGUAUAUCGCCGUUUAGCAAUAAAGUAACGUUCGUGUGUGCAAUAUAAUAGACAAGCUUCAUUCCAUUUCCCAGACCUUCAAAACAGUAAACCUCGUAACAAUAACUGUUUGAGCGCGUCAAGAUCAUGAGCAGACGCGCACGCUUGUCGCGACAGCCAAUCGGAAGCAUGCAGUAAUAGUUCUGGAGACUGUAGGCGCAUUAUUUUACAUACGUAUGAUGCGUGAGUGUGUCAUAUAUACGUAUGUUUGUGCUUGUGCUGUCGAGCGCUUUUAAUUGUAUACAAUAUUUUUAUAUGGGUAGCUGGUGAUUUAAGAUCUAUUUUUCGACCUAUAUAAGAGAGAGAUAUGCAAAAGAAAAGAAAUAUACCAAGUAUUAAGGAUCGAACAUAUUCUUGAUGUACUCGGGCCGCGAGGCUGAGCAAUAUUCUAAGGAAAGUAUUGCACAAGAUACAAAGAUUGGACAAUAUAUCUCCCCUUAUCUUUCAUUGACAAUUUUCUGACUUUUGAAGAUAUGCUAAAAACUGAUCAAGAAGCUUUCAUGCAAGUUGUGAACAAGGUUAUGUUAAUUGGAGGGAAACAUGAAAAAGAUUUUAUUAGAAAAAGUUUGAGUGCUACAUUUUCUGAUGAUUUAGCCUCUAUGUGUUCAUGCAUGGACUGGCCAAAAAAAUAAUUAUAAAAUUGGAGAUACGCACACAAUUCUGAGCAUUAAAAAAGCUUUUAGAGCAAUAUUCCCUCGGAAUACAGAAAAAGAUUUUGAACACUUUGUAAUGGAGUGGUUCAGAUUCGCAAACGUCCGUAAGGAAAGAAAAAAACAUUAAAAAGGUAAUGUAAUGUAUUUCGGUAUAUACUCUCUAUAAAAUAAAAUCAUUA